GCCGGCAGCUGGACCCGGUAGUAGCUCUUCUCCGCUUAAAUUUCCUUCUCCUUUUGCAGCUCGCUGCCGCUCACGCCUACCGGACUCAGGGUCUCGAGUCUGCAGCGCAGGCAUUGCCCUGGGUGACAGCGCUGGGAGCAUGGCCUUGCACCUGAGCAGACUGAGCGCCAGUUCCUGCUGGCGUGUGGCGCAGGGCAGCUGCGGCGCGCUGCGCGCUUGGCCCCAGCGGUGCGCAACCGGGCGCAUCUGCCGGCUGCCUGGCACGGCUGGCACGGUGCAUAGCCGCGAGCUGGGACACGGCCCCACAGCGCGGGGCGGCCCCAGGCUGGGGGCCGGGCUGACUGCGGCGCUCGCGGGGCUUGCGGGGCUGGCCGCCGCCGUCGGUUUCGGACAUGUGGAGCGAGCGGAGAUGGUGCCCAAGAGCACGGGGGCGCGGAGCCCCGAGCCGGAGAGGCCAGAGGAGCAGGACGAGCUGGCCCGCCGCUGCAGCUGCUUCAUGGCCUCGCCUGUGACCGACCUGCGUGAGCUGCGGGGGAGGCCAGGCGACAUGAAGACCAAGAUGGAGCUGUUGAUCAUGGAGACCCAGGCCCAGGUGUGCCAGGCGCUGGCACAGGUAGACGGAGGCGCCAGCUUCUCUGUGGACCGGUGGGAGAGGAAGGAAGGAGGUGGUGGCAUAAGCUGUGUGCUUCAAGACGGUCGUGUCUUUGAAAAGGCUGGAGUGAGCGUCUCUGUUGUUCACGGAAAUCUUUCUGAGGAAGCAUCAAAGCAAAUGAGAAGCAGAGGGAAAAUGCUGAAGACUAAAGAUGGUAAAUUGCCAUUUUGUGCUAUGGGCGUGAGCUCUGUUAUCCAUCCCAAGAAUCCUCAUGCUCCUACCAUCCAUUUCAACUACAGAUACUUUGAAGUAGAAGAAGCAGAUGGUAACAAGCAGUGGUGGUUUGGUGGUGGAUGUGACCUUACUCCAACAUACUUGAACCUAGACGACGCUGUCCAUUUUCACAGAACUCUAAAGAAGGCUUGUGACCAGCAUGGUCCAGAUCUGUACCCCAAAUUUAAAAAAUGGUGCGAUGAUUACUUUUUUAUAGCCCAUCGAGGAGAGCGGAGAGGCAUCGGGGGGAUCUUUUUUGAUGAUCUUGACUCUCCAUCCAAGGAAGAGGUGUUCCGCUUUGUGCAGAGCUGUGCCCAGGCUGUAGUCCCUUCUUACAUUCCCCUUGUGAAAAAGCACUGUGAUGACUCCUUCACUCCCCAGGAGAAGCUGUGGCAGCAGCUCAGGAGAGGCCGGUAUGUGGAAUUUAACUUGCUGUAUGAUCGGGGCACAAAGUUUGGCCUCUUUACUCCAGGAUCCAGGAUCGAAAGCAUCUUGAUGUCUUUACCUUUAACUGCCCGAUGGGAGUACAUGCAUUCACCCUCAGAGAAUUCCAAAGAAGCUGAAAUUCUGGAAGUUUUGCGCCACCCAAGAGAUUGGGUGCAUUGAUGGCAGGCAGAGCAGCCAUGCUGGGGCUUGGGGGACACAGGGUGUGUGCCCCCUCCCCCUGGCUGGCAUGUGGCCACUACAGAGCAGUUUGGUACCCGUGCCUUCGUGUUUCCCAGUUUUCUUCACUCUGGGCCUACCUCCUUUGCAGGGGGUAAAAUGUGUUUUAAACACCAACUUCCUGGUGGAUGCUGUCAGUGUUGGUCUAUGAGAUGGCAAAUUGUUUGUUCUUUAGAGCCAUUUAGUCAAUAUAAAAACUUGUUUAUACUUCUAGAAUGGUUUUAUAUGACUAGUUUAUGAAAUAUGACAUUGAAUUUAUAAGUCCUGAAUAAAGAGAAUCUAAAUAUUAUAAUUAUAUCAUGAAGCUUCUCAUUUUUUUUGUUUUCAUAUAUUUUUUAAAAGUUUUCAUUUUUGCCACAAAAAUCUCCACACUGGGAUAAAUUUCAUUUUCAUUAAUUCAGUGAAAUUGAGACUUACUAGUAAUUUUAGGAAGUAGCUUGAAACUGAGAUAAAAGUUUUACUUUGUCCUUCCUAAAGUUUCUUGGAUCAUCGUGCUUAUAUUUUAUAUCCCCCUGGAAACCCUGGUGGCAUAGUGGUUAAGAGCUCGGCUGCUAACCAAAAGGUCGGCAGUUUGAAUCCACCAGGUACUCCUUGGAAACCCUAUGGUGCAGUUCUACACUGUCCUAUAGGGUCACUAUGAGUCGGAAUCGACUUGACGGCAAUGGAUUUUUUGGUAGAGACCAAAAUAUUGGAAAAUAAAUAUUCAUUUUUUUAACUAUAUAUACUUAGGAAAACUUGAUAUUUUCCUAGUCUCUGCAUGUGGUUCAGUUCAAUGAUUACCUAUAGUUAUUAACCUCUAAAGUGACAUUAUUGGUAUUUAAAGAUGUCUAAGUUGUAAUUUUGACUUUUGUAGAACUAUACCAUAUUUUUGUGCAAAUAACACACGCUUCCUAUGUUUGUUUACCAACCGCGCCCUCCCCCUGAGGUAUUUUUGUAAGCACACUAUGCUAGCAUGUAAAAAAAAAUGGGCGUAGUGGCACUUAUGAAAAUACUUCGCGGGGGAGGAGACAGUUGGCAAACAAACAUUGGAGGCGUGUGUUAUUUGUGUAAAAAUAUGGUAAUUUGUUAAUGUUGGUAUUCUCUGUACUGUUGAAUGUGAAAAGUUAUAUCCCUGGAUUCUGAUACUUAAAAUUUUCUAUUCUAGACAUUUCUGUAUGGAAGUUUAGACUAAAAAUAAUGCUGGGAAAGUUGUGAUUUUAGAAAAGUUUCUCAUUUUGGAAAUGAAUUGGAAUGAAAUUACCAUCUUUCUCAAAAUAGAGUUUCUGCAAAAUGGAGAUUCUUAUCUUUGCUCUUAAGAGAAUAUCACAACAGAAUUUCUAAUGUGUAGCUUCUUUGUUCAUAUGAUAAUGUUUAUGACAUGCUAAACACUGUGCAAAGUGCUUACCUGCAUUUUCUUAUUUAAUUCUCACAAUAACCGUCUGAGGAAGCCACCAAUCUGCCGGACGUGGUAGACCCCGCCUGGGGGAGGACAACUGGAAGCUUGGGCCUGAUGUCUCCGAGACGCCACCCUAUGCACUUGAUUUUAAACUAGAUCCUUUCACUGUAACAAACUGCGCCUGUAAGUAUAACAGCUUCUCUGAGUUCUGUGAGUCCUUCUAGCAAAUCUUUGAGCCUGAGGGUGGUCUUGGGGAUCCCUGACACAGGUGUUUAGUAAAUCAGUUAAAGUCACACUGAAGACAUUAGAACAAUUUAUCAGAUAUUUCAUAAAUAGAAAAACUAGGCAAAUGAUUGGUUAGCACUUUGAAGGAAAAAGGAAGAGUGGAUUAGAUUAGUCGGGAGUGGAGUUUUGUCAUUCCCAAUUGCUCUUGCUCCCCUUGCAGUGGAAAAUAUAUACAUGCAGAUACAUUUACAUGUUAUACAUAGAUACAUCGGUAAGUAUUUCACUUUUCGUAGUCAACAUCAAUAAUAAUACUUCAUUUUUUAAACUAAGAAAUUUGA